UAUGCAUGUGGUAGACCACGUGAAGUAAAAGUCCACGACGCCCAACUCCACUCUCCAGUCUCCACCACUCAUCUCGAUGGCUCGACCUAGUCAAGACUCAAGAUGGCCGCGGGCGAGUGCGAGAUGGGGCACGGUAGCUGCGGCGCAUCGGGCAUGGCUGUCGGCGCAUACGAGGCAAGGCACGGCGGCAGCGGCGACGCAGCGCGUGCGAAGCCGAGGCGGGGCGUGGUGCUGGCAGCGUGUUGGGCGGGGCUCGGCAGCUAGGCACGAGGGCCUCAGUGGAUGAUUUGUGCUACCGGUGAAAUACAUCGUGCUUGCGUAGAGUUAAAUUGAAAUGUGUCUUUUGACGCUGCUGCGGUAAUCUCCGCACCCGAACGCUGGUGGCUGGGGCGAUUGCCGUAAGUUCUCGCUUUCGCUCGCACUCUGCCAGGGAAAUUCCGGCCUGAUCUGCUAGGGUGUUGCUGGCUGCAGAGGCUAAGCAUUUUAUUUGGGAGAUUAUGUUCAGGAUUUGGCUGCUUAUUUAAGAAUUUUUAUUUCAAUCUUGUAAGAUGUGAAUUAGCGGCAACGGUGGGACUAGGAUCUAUAUUUUAACGUAGUUUGGUUUAGCUUGGAUCUCUUUCCAACUUUGACUGUAAUUUGGCAAAGACGUUUGGGUCUUCUCGAUUCUGGGAUUCGAUACUGUAAUUUGUAAGUGUAUGGCUGUAUUGAAAAUUUUGAUGAGCUUCGAUGUCUCUCAGGUUGUAGAGUGAAGGUGGAAAGUGUGAAUAGUUUCUCUUUAUUUCAGCCGAAAACA